rnacentral:rRNA from 1 species
AGUUUGAUCAUGGCUCAGAUUGAACGCUGGCGGAUGUUUACACAUGUACGAACGGCACGGACUUCGGUCUGGGUGUGGCGAGUGGCGAACGGGUGAGUAAUGUAUCGGAACGUGCCUAGUAGCGGGGAUAACUACGCGAAAGCGUAGCUAAUACCGCAUACGCUCCGGGAAAGCGGGGGACCUUCAGCCUCGCAAUUAUUAGAGCGGCCGAUAUCGGAUUAGCUAGUUGGCGCGGGGUAACGGCUCACCAAGGCGACGAUCCGUAGCUGGUUUGAGAGGACGCAUUCGGCCACACUGGGACUGGAGACAGCGCCCGUGACUCCCACGGGAGGCAGCAGUGGGGAAUUUUGGACAAUGGGGGAACCCUGAUCCAGCCAUCCCGCGUGCGAUGAAGGCCUUCGGGUUACAGCACUUUGGCAGGAAGAAACGGCACGGAUAAUACCCCAGCAACUGAUUGCCUGCAGAAUAAGCACUGGCUAACUACGUGCCAGCAGCCGGCAAUAACAGGGUGCAAGCGUUAAUCGGAAUUACCGGCGGAAGCGCGCAGGCGGUUCGGAAAGAAAGAUGUGAAAUCCCAGAGCUUAACUUUGAACCGCAUUUUUAACUACCGAGCUAGAGGGUCAGAGGGAGGUGGAAUUCGCGUGUAGCAGUGAAAUGGCGUAGAUACGGAGGGAACACCGAUGGCGAAGGCAGCCUCCUGGGGAUGUGUUCGACGCUCAUGCACGAAAGCGUAGGAACAAACAGGAUUAGAUACCCUGGUAGUCCACGGCUCCUAAACGAUGUCAACUAGCUGUUGGGGCCUGGCCUGGCGCAGCUAACGCGUGAAGUUGACCGCCUGGGGAGUACGGUCGCAAGAUUAAAACUCACAAAGGAAUUGACGGGACCCGCACAAGCGGUGGAUGAUGUGGAUUAAUCUGAUGCAACUAUGAAAAACCUUACCUACCCUUGACAUGUCUGGAAUCCCGAAGAGAUUUGGGAGUGCUCGCAAGAGAACCGGAACACAGGGUGCUGCAUGGCUGGUCGCUCAGCUCGUGUCGUGAGAUGUUGGGUUAAGUCCCGCAACGAGCGCAACCCUUGUCAUUAGUUGCUACGGAAAGGGCACUUGUCGAGACUGCCGGUGACAAACCGGAGGAAGGUGGGAUGGCGUCGGGAAAGUCCUCAUGGCCCUUAUGGGUAGGGCUUCACGUCAUACAAUGGUCGAUGAGGGAUCGCCAACCCGCGAGGGGGAAGCCAUCCUUAGAAACCCGAUCGUAGUCCGGAUCGCAGUCUGCAACUCGACUGCGUGGAAGUCGGAAUCGCUAGUAAUCGCGGAUCAGCAUGUCGCAGAAUACGUUCCCGGGUCUUGUACACACCGCCCGUCACACCAUGGGAGUGGUUUUACCAGAAGUAGUUAGCCUAACCGUAAGGAGGGCGAUUACCACGGUAGGAUUCAUGACUGGGGCGAAGUCGUAACAAGGUAA